rnacentral:rRNA from 1 species
UACGAAGGGGGCUAGCGUUGCUCGGAAUUACUGGGCGUAAAGGGAGCGUAGGCGGAUAGUUUAGUCAGAGGUGAAAGCCCAGGGCUCAACCUUGGAAUUGCCUUGGAUACUGGCUAUCUUGAGUACGGAAGAGGUAUGUGGAACUCCGAGUGUAGAGGUGAAAUUCGUAGAUAUUGGGAAGAACACCGGUGGCGAAGGCGGCGACCUGGUCCGAUACUGACGCUGAGGCGCGAAAGCGUGGGGAGCAAACAGG